rnacentral:pre_miRNA from 1 species
AAAAAAGCAAACCCUAGGUUUCCGUGUCCAACUUUGACUGUCUGUCUUAUAUGAAAUUUUUUUAUAAUUCGUAUUUUCAUUGUUGUUAGAUGAUAAAACAUGAUUAAUAUUUUAUGCGUAACUUGUCUUUUUAAUUUUUUUUUAUAAUUUUUUAAUAAGACGGACGGUCAAACGUUGGGCACGGAAACCAGGGUUUGUCUUUUU